GCCAGAGUGAUGAAGUGGUUUGAGUGUUAGACUACCACUCUGGAGACUUGGGUUCAAAUCCCUGCUCAGCCA